CAGCCGCCGCGGGAAUACGUAGGUGGCAAGCGUUGUCCGGAUUUAUUGGGCGUAAAGCGAGCGCAGGCGGUUUCUUAAGUCUGAUGUGAAAGCCCCCGGCUCAACCGGGGAGGGUCAUUGGAAACUGGGAGACUUGAGUGCAGAAGAGGAGAGUGGAAUUCCAUGUGUAGCGGUGAAAUGCGUAGAUAUAUGGAGGAACACCAGUGGCGAAGGCGGCUCUCUGGUCUGUAACUGACGCUGAGGCUCGAAAGCGUGGGGAGCGAACAGGAUUAGAUACCCCCGUAGUCCCUGUCUCUUAUAC
rnacentral:rRNA from 1 species